rnacentral:misc_RNA from 1 species
UGGCCACACACUGUAGGGUAG